AGAAUGACUGCUCCCCGCAUGAAACGGGGGGCGACCUUUGCAUGGACGCGCGCAGCCCCUGGAUCUGGAGCGGCUCCAUUCAGCAUAGGCUUGGCUUUGCCUUCCCUCAGGUGGGAUACCUGGAGGUCUCCGCCUACCCCAGUCAGUUGUCCAAUCCCACCUGGGGGAAGCGUUGCCAAGGAGAUCAGGCCAGGUGGGGGAGGGAUUACCUGCCCACACAAUAGAGGGAGGAUCUUACCUGGGAAUCCUCACUUGGCUCCAGAGCUUCUCCCACCCUACCCACCCUCAGUUAAUGCCUUAUUUUGCAGGUUAACUUUUCUUCACAGGUUUUGCAGGUUAACUUUUCUUACAGGUAUGCGGGCGCUGCUACGUUAAGGUCGCUGUUAAAGGGCAGGAAAGGAAUUUCCCUGCAUUGGCAGGUUUCGCCUUUCCCGUAGCAAAACGUCACAACUUUGGCAGUAUCAGGCCUUGGGUGGAAUCCUUUUGUCCAUCUUCCUCUUGCAGCAGCGAUACCAGGGUUCCCCGUUAAAGGGGUUUCUGAAGGGAGGCUUUGACCGUACGCCGAAAGGUCGUCAUUGCUCUCCCCUGCGGCGGUGGCGUAACGGGGGGUGGCUAUCUCUGCUUGAACAUAUGUUCUCCAGAGCCGGCCCAUCCCCCACACAAACACUGGAUAACCCUGAUGCUCCCUAGGUCCCCGGCUGGGGACUGGGGAGGGAGAAUGCCCAAUGCCUGAGCCAAGGUCUACCCACAUUUGAAAUUUAAUAAAGUUGUGGCCAAUUUAAUCCCAU